AGCGAACGCUGGCGGCAGGCCUAACACAUGCAAGUCGAACGGCAGCACAGUAAGUGCUUGCUCUUACGGGUGGCGAGUGGCGGACGGGUGGGGAAUACAUCGGAAUCUACUUUUUCGUGGGGGAUAACGUAGGGAAACUUACGCUCAUACCGCAUACGACCUACGGGUGAAUGCAGGGGAUCUUUGGACUUUGAGCGAUUGAAUGAGCCGAUGUCGAAUUAGCUAUUGGGCGGGGUAUAGGCCCACCAAGGCGACGCUCCGAAGCUGGUCUCAGAGGAUGAUCAGCCACACUGGAACUAGGACACGGUCCAGACUCCUACGGGAGGCAGCAGUGGGGAAUAUUGGACAAUGGGCGCAAGCCUGCUCCAGCCAUACCGCGUGGGUGAAAAAGGCCUUCGGGUUGUAAAGCCCGUUUGUUGGGAAAGAAAAGCAGCAGGUUAAUACCCCGCUGUUCUGACGGUACCCAAAGAAUAAGCACCGGCUAACUUCGUG
rnacentral:rRNA from 1 species